rnacentral:rRNA from 1 species
GGGGGGGGGGGGGGGGGGGGGUGGCAGGGGGAGGGCGGGGGGGGCGGGCGGGCGGGUGGGGGGUGGUCGAGUGGCGGUCGUGGGGGUAACACGUGAGUCACCCGCCCUUGGCUUUUGGAUAGUCUCAGGUUUCUGGGGCUAGGACCGGGUAGGCGCUCCUGCUGCUUGGUUGGGGUUGGUAUGUUUCGGCUGUCGGGGAGGGUGUGGCGGCUUAUCAGCCUGUUGGUGUGGCAGUGGCUUACCAAGGCUUGGACGGUUAGCCGGCCUGAGAGGGUGACCGGCGGCAUUGGGACUGAGAAACGGCCCAGACUACUAUGGGAGGCAGCAGCGGGGAAUAGUGGACAAUGCGCGGACGUCUGAUGCAGCAACGCCGCGUGCGGGAUGACGGCCUUCGGGUUGUAAACCGCUUGCGCCUGUGACGAAGCGUGAGUGACGGUAAUGGGUAAAGAAGCACCGGCUAACUACGUG